rnacentral:rRNA from 1 species
UACGUAGGGGGCUAGCGUUGUCCGGAAUCAUUGGGCGUAAAGAGCUCGUAGGCGGUUUGUCGCGUCUGCUGUGAAAACCCGAGGCUCAACCUCGGGCCUGCAGUGGGUACGGGCAGACUAGAGUGCGGUAGGGGAGAUUGGAAUUCCUGGUGUAGCGGUGGAAUGCGCAGAUAUCAGGAGGAACACCGAUGGCGAAGGCAGGUCACUGGGCCGCAACUGACGCUGAGGAGCGAAAGCAUGGGGAGCGAACAGG